UCCCUGGUGGUUCAGAUGGUAAAGAAUCUGCCUGUAAUGCAGGAGACUCAGGUUCAAUCCCUGGACUGGGAC
rnacentral:tRNA from 1 species